GGCUUGGUGGUGGAUGGUCCAUGCCUGCGCUCCAUGUGACCGUUUGCUGAAAUCUGUGCAGGGGAAGCUCGUUCGACUCGGGCCCGAGCCA